CAUUUUCCGGCUCGAUAUUUAAGAGCCUCACUUUUAACCAAAGGAAAUGUUGGGGUUUAAACAGACCUCGGAAUAAACAACCGAACUCUACCUAAUCUCCCGAACACUGUCCGGGCCGAAAUGAAUGAGAAAUGUGAUAGGACAAGGCGCCCGAAGCCCUAUGAAAUAUUUAGCGAUUCUCCAGUCCGUACGCAGCCCGUACAUGUCAUUUCAAUUAUCCUGCCAAUCUAAUUAGUAAUCCGCGGCUGACAUUAAUACAAAUAUAAUGAAGUCGGUGAUGGCCAGAUUAGCAGAGCAGGCACGGAUCGCCUUAAAGGAACAUCGCACCUUGGCACGUAUGGAACCAAUGCAGCAAAGGGUAACAUCUUGCUUAUUAAAAAAAAACUCUAGCAAAAUCGCGCACAUCAGGCUUAGCGGUUCAAGUGCCAAUUAAGAAAUGCAGCGCAUUGCUGAGCGCUGCUUCUCGGCCUGGAACAUGCCACCCGCUGCAGUUUGGGGCAGGAAACUCUCUCCCCAGACUUUGCGCAGAAAGGAGGAGAGCAGCGCAGGGAGAGACACAGAGAGCGCGCAGCUCCCGGGACUCGGAGGGGUUGGCGUCAAACGCGCCCACACAAUGAACCCCCCCCUUCCCACGCACGCCGGUUGGAAAGGAGCCCCGCAGACGCCGGAAGGAAUCCGCGGUUGAUGGGGACCCUUAAAUAACUGGAAAACCCUAAUCCCCGAGCGUGCUGGAUAACAGAGGUUUUACUGUCUAUACAGUGUAGUGGAAAUGACUCCUAGCCAUGGCAUAAGAUUUCAAAAUCUAUUCUGCAGCUAUUUUGAUUUGGCGUAGGACUUCCAUCACUGCUGUUGUAGCCAUCUUCCCUGCUUCAUUGGACUCAGAUCUCCUGAAUAGCUCCUCAGUGCUGAGGAAGAGUAACCACACUAAUGGUGGAGACUACUGACUCUUGAAACAUCUUGUCAAAUCAACCGCUGUAUGGGCCGUUGGAAAAGCUACACGUCUUCAAAGUUCUCUGAAACCCAACAUGUACCAUGGUGGACUAUCAAAGCAGCUUGCUCAUCACAGUGGGAACAAAUAUCCACUCAUCAUCACCAUCAUCAUCCUCAUUAUUUUAUUUCCAUUACAAUAGAGCUAUGGGCAACCCAUCAUAGAUUUGGACCCCACUGUGCGAGAUACACUGUACGCAUUUAUAACAAAGGUAUGGUCCUUAGCCCAAGCUCUUUUGAUCUAAGAUAAGAGACAACAGGUGGAUACAAUGAUGAGAUGAGAGGAACGCAAGGAAACAGUGAGAUUAUGCUGGAUAGCAGGGGAAGCUUUGCUCAGCACAGCAACUGCCUGACCACAGUCAGGUCGGGGAACUCGGCUUGGACUAACGCUCAAAUCACUGGUCAAAAAUGGCCUGGAAAUAAGAGAUCCUUUCCUUAUUUUCUGCUUCCUGGAUUUCUUGGCCAAUCCAGAUGAAGACCAGUGAAGAUCUCUGUUUCAAAAAAAAAAAAAAAUUAUAAGUACCCACAAUGCCUACAGUUUUCAGACACACACAAAUUUUUUCUACUAUUGCAACACAUUUGUUUAAACAACUUAAUCAUAGGCAGGCAGGUGAUGACAUUUUUGGGUGCAAAAAGUACAAAAAUAAUAAAGCUCUGUAAAACAAAACAAAAAUUCAGUUUUCUCCAAAUUUCAGUUGUGUGGACUUACCCCCCUAGACUUCUCUCGAGUACCCCUAAGGGUACCUGUGCCGUUGUUUGAGAAACACUGGCCUAAACAAACAAAGAGGCCACCACAGGCAGAUGUGACGUUAUUGGAAUGUAUGAAUGUACAGAUCAUUGUUGCAACCACUAUUCUAUGUUCCAAAUUUUGUAUAAAGUAUGUCAAGUGAGAUGUCUAUGAAAAGCUUAUGAUUUGCUGAUUCUGCUUAUACUAGUUAUAUGCAUGUAUCAUUUUUUGGUUUUGAGGUUAUAAGUAUUGGCUGUGUACUUGUAUUUCAAAUGUUUGCUUCUGGGAGAUAUAAACAGGAGGCUGGGCCAGGUGUUAAAGGACUAUUAUAGUCAAGUGAAUAGACGUACGUGACUGACAAUGCACCUUGGGUGGUGCCAAUCCAUGCCUGGUAAGCUCAUCUGUGAACAUUCAGACCAGCAGAGGAGCAAUGGCUGCUGCCUAAGAAGUACUGAGUCAUGCGUGAACAGGUGACUUGACCUUGUGGCUCGAAACUCCAUCUUAGGACUGACUUUUCCACAGCAGGAAGAUGGGAGUCCCUCCGCGUGGCCUAGGAUAUAUAAAGGAGCCCUGGAACUUCCACCAUUUUGUCUUCAACCCAGUUUCUCAUUUCUGGUAGCUCUUUGCUAUGAACUGAAGCUUGAAAAAGGGACCGAUGACCCAUCUCCACAGCAGGUGUUCUCCAGAGACUUGAUUUAAGACAGAAGAUUAUUCCAACUCUGCUACAAGAAGCAUGCACCAAGAACUUUGCAAUUGGUGUAUGUAAUUUGAUUCCUUUAAUAACUUUGUG